GAGAGGGUAGCUUAUUUAAAGUUUUUGACUGUUGAUUGAAGGAUGGUGGAUCCCCCUUUCU
rnacentral:tRNA from 1 species